rnacentral:rRNA from 1 species
AUACGGAGGAUCCGAGCGUUAUCCGGAUUUAUUGGGUUUAAAGGGUGCGCAGGCGGCCAUUUAAGUCAGCGGUUAAAUCGUGGGGCUCAACCCCAUUCUGCCGUUGAUACUGGGUGGCUUGAUUGCGGUCGAGGUUGGCGGAAUUCGUUGUGUAGCGGUGAAAUGCAUAGAUAUGACGAAGAACACCGAUUGCGUAGGCAGCUGACCAGACCGCAAAUGACGCUCAUGCACGAAAGUGCGGGGAUCGAACAGGAUUAGAUACCCUGGUAGUCCGCACAGUAAACGAUGAGUACUUGUUUUCGGCGAUAUAAUGUCGGAGGCAAAGCGAAAGCGAUAAGUAUUCCACCUGGGGAGUACGCCGGCAACGGUGAAACUCAAAUGAAUUGACGGGG